GGGCCCUAGCUUAGUAGUAGAGCACCUGCUUUGCAUGCAAAAGGUUCCAGGUUCAAUCUCUGGCAUCUCCA